ACGCGGUAAACGAUGGAUGCUCGCUGUAUGCCUAUUAGGUAUGUGGCCAAGGGAAACCAUUAAGCAUCCCACCUGGGGAGUACGCCGGCAACGGUGAAACUCAAAGGAAUUGACGGGGGCCCGCACAAGCGGAGGAACAUGUGGUUUAAUUCGAUGAUACGCGAGGAACCUUACCCGGGCUUGAACUGCAGGUGAACGAUCCAGAGAUGGUGAGGCCCUUCGGGGCACCUGUGGAGGUGCUGCAUGGUUGUCGUCAGCUCGUGCCGUGAGGUGUCGGCUUAAGUGCCAUAACGGGCGCAACCCCUUUCAUUAGUUGCCAUCAGGUCAUGCUGGGCACUCUGGUGAUACUGCCACCGUAAGGUGUGAGGAAGGUGGGGAUGACGUCAAAUCAGCACGGCCCUUACGUCCGGGGCUACACACGUGUUACAAUGGCGCAUACAGAGAGUCGGUUCCGGGCAAUCGGGAUCUAAUCAAUAAAGUGCGUCGUAGUUCGGACUGGGGUCUGCAACCCGACCCCACGAAGCUGGAUUCGCUAGUAAUCGCGCAUCAGCCAUGGCGCGGUGAAUACGUUCCCGGGCCUUGUACACACCGCCCGUCAAGCCAUGAAAGCCGGGGGCACCUGAAGUCUGUGACCGCGAGGGGCGGCCUAAGGUGAAACUGGUAAUUGGGGCU
rnacentral:rRNA from 1 species